UUUGUGAGGACACUCAGGCCGGGGAAGUUUCAGUACUGUACCCAAGGUCAUGUAGGUAGUGAGAGCCCGGAUCUCAAUGCUGAUCUGAGGCUGUGUGACGAUACAGUCUUGGCUCCCACAGAGCCUGACGGGGUCUGCUCCUCGCUCUGUUGGGACGUGGCCCCGUGAGAGCGAGGGCAAGGUUAACCAGGGAACACCUGUUAGCCUCUUCCUCCACAUACACCUGCGAACACUGCAGAGACAUCGGACCACCCACAGGAGGCAAGGGAAAGAAAAGGAAGGAUUCGGGCUGUCUCAUUUGCUGAUGAAUUCCCAGAGCCUAGCAGAGCAACUUGAACGUGAUGAACACUCGGUGAAGGAACCAACAAGCUCCCACCAUCCAACGUCUUCAACUUCAGAUGCAAGCCAGUCUGUUGCUGUCUCCCUGGAGUUUCGCCAUUGGACAAUUUCCUGUCCAUGGAUCCUCAGGAGAUUAUGCUGAAAUUCCAUUCCCGGUGUCACCAGGAGUGAAACUAACUAAACUGAACCCUAGAGAACGCGGUUUAAUACAUAAGAACACAGCUAAGUAAUUGCUAUGUUGAACAGAAGAGGAAAUCAGUCACUAUAAAACUCAUGCUGUAGGAUAACUCAUUUCCAAGCAAGAUCACAAUGGGAUUCACCUAAAUAGGAUUAAACUUUUAUGAUUUUUUUUUUUAAAGGGACCCAUUCAAUCAUCAGACUAAGAGAAACAUUUCAUUUCACUUAACUAAAAGGUCAGAACUUUUUGAUGUCCCAGUUACUUAGGCAGUAUGUUAUGCACAAGCUCAUCAGGACAUAAUGGAUGACUUCAGUUAUAUAAAAGUUCAGCCACGUUGAAACUCCUGCUGAACGAUCCCUAGAGGAAAACCCUUUUUGCCACUGACUUUGUAAUCAGAUGUUGUAGCUCUCCACCGGAAUCUUUUGAAAGAUUUUUGAAAAGGAGAGGCCAUCAGUUCAGAUGUGCCAUUUAUUGUCUGUCAGAGGGGAAUUUGCAAAUGCACAUGACCCUCUAGGAAGCAGAGCUCUUCCCUUCUCCGAGAAAGGCGAUGAUAAUUGGACUUUACAUAUGUUUCCCUUUUUGAGAUACAGACCACAGAGUUUGUUUAUGACUAUCUUUAGCACGAACAGGAAACUUGCAGUGAAACUCAAACGGAGGGGAGUAGAGUUAAAAUGUCAUAAAACUCAUGAGAAAUACGUUCCAAAUGAUCUAGUGGCUUUCAAAAGCCCAUUUUAAACACACAAGAAUGAUGCAGCAUAGUUGUGUUUCCAGUAGCAGGGAGAGGCAUUGCUGUGCCAACCGUAUGUUCUGGCCCUGUGACCAGCUGCUCAUUAUUUGCCAGAAGAAUAGCUGGGUGGGACCACGGCUGGGCUGUGGAAAAAGUGUUUCUCUGUGAUAAACUUACAAGUUUGUAUGAAGGGCAAACCAGGAAUGUUGAUCUUUAGCAACACCCUAACCCUACCCUUAACCUCAGCACUAGCUUUGGUUUUUGAAAACAGGAUAGUUCAUAUGAGUAACCUGAGACAGCAUUCGAGGGUGUUCACACCACCCCUUAGGAGGGUACCAAACUUCACUAAUCUCACUUCUUUUGUGAGUCACGUCUGCACCAGUGUGUAUCCCCAUCAGUCAGAAUAGGCUGGGUUCUGCUGUGGCAACAACAACAAAAAAGCUUAAAAUCAACCAAAAGCAUCGGUUUAGGGAAGACUAGUGGACGGUGAGAAAAUGUUUCUGAAGUAGGGAGAACGUUUCUCUUUGCCUUUGAACCGGAGACAGACAAGGGUUGAGACGAUGGCUGCCCUAUUCACCUGGCUUCCGGAGGCAGAAGAUGAGCGGCAUAGCUAGCCCCAGCUGACUUGCAAAGUAAAUAAACUUUUGGGAUUAUAAACCACUAAGAUUUAGCAGUAGAAUCUGGCUUAUCCUGACUAAUGCCGUAUCUACCACAGUUUUACAGAUGAACAAACAAAUGCUCAGGCAGGUUAACUAGAUGACUCUAGUCAAGGGCCAGGGAAACCAUGUAUGAGCUCUAUUAACAUGUCAGACUGACUCUCGUUUGUCUCUGGCAGAGCCACGAAAGACCUCAAUUUUUCCAUGGACUGCUGAGUCUUCAGGCUGAUGAGGUUAUUCUGAUCCCAUAUGCCCCGGGGAAUAAGCUUGGUUGUUUUCAAGGAGAGCAAAAUUAACUUUUUAUUUAUUUAUUUAUUU